ensembl:snRNA U6 U6 spliceosomal RNA
GCUCGCUUGGGCAGUGCAUAUACAAAAACUGGAACAGUACAGAGAAGAUCAGCACAGCCCCUGCGCAAAGAUGACAGGCAAAUUCAGGAAGCGUUCCAUAUUCAA